UCUCUAUCUCUCUAACAGAUGCUCUCUAACCCUUCAUCUCUCUAAAACCUUCUGGUUCUCUCCAUAUUUUCCGAUGAUGACCAACGCCUCUCCAGCUCACUCCUCCCUCACUUCUCUCGACCUCCAGCAACCAUGGGGUCCUUGUAUCGUUGUUUUCUCUCUAAUGUUUGAAGCCAGCAGCUUCCGCCAUGAAAGAGGUCACUGAAGCUUUAUUUGGGUUUGUUUCCGAAUUUUCUCCGGUGGUAUUUGUACGAUGAUGCCUUCUAUGGAAUUGUAUACGAGUUUCACUACCAGGUUUCUCAUUUCCGUAACUUAUUUUUGCAAACCCUAAUUUGCUUUGCCUAAAUAUCUUAAACUUCUGUCUUUUUAAGCAAUUUCCGGUUUAAUCUUUGUUUUCUACACUCCAUCUAACUCGAUAUCUUUGAUUAAGUCGAGUUUUUCAAACAUUCUGUACCGUUUUUUCAAGACUAGGUUUCUGACCCCUUUUGCAAAAUCGUUAUACUUUCUGACUUUUCUUGAGUAUUAUGUGGUUGUUUGUGCUUAUUUGUGUUAUGAGUUUGUUUGUUUCCCUGUUAAUCCGAGUUCCAUUGCUUUAUCUCUUUGCUAGGGUUCCAACCCUUUACUACUUCCAUGCUUUAUUCCCUAAGGCUAUCUGAUUUUCAUGUCUAUUGUGUUUUAUAGGUCCAAUUGCUCAUCGUUCAUGCAAUAUUCUACUGAUUCUGUGCAUCUCUUUUAAUCCCUAAUUUGUAUAAUUUUUCCUUAAAAGGUUCUUACAACGAUUUUAAAUUAUUUCCUUACUUGUGAGAUGCUCUCUAUAUUUGGUUGUGUCCGUGAUUCUUUGACUAACUUGCAGAAAUUAAUUGGUGUUUUCUUACCAUAUUUGUGCAUGAACAGGAUUUCAAAUUUUCAGCAUAUAUUUUCUUUACUUCAAUUAUUAUGAAUCUAACCCUUAUGGUAUAUUAUAUGCUUACUACUCUUACUAGGGUAAAUAUAUUUAAUUGAUUCCUUUCCUUUUGGACCCUCUAUUUGUUGCUGUUUUCCUUGAUUCCUUAGUUAAAGGGGAGUCCUAAUCCUAAUUGGGUAUGAUUGACACUAGUUCCUUAAUUAAUGAUUGCUGUCUUGUUUGUGUACUCGUUUCUAGUACUAUAAGUACCCCACCCAUUCUCUUUGAAACAGAGAAACACAUUGCAUAUCUCUCAUACACAGACACAAGUUCAAACUCUCUGAACUCUCUCUUUCAAAACACUCAGUGUUCUCUCUUUCUCUACUGUUUCUACACCCUCUUAUUCUUCUAUUUGAAUACUCAAUCGGCUGAAAGCCAAGAUUGAGUAAUCUUGGCUAUUUAUUUCUACACUAAUAAGGUUCUACUGCAUUGCUUACUUGGGUUUGCCUACUGCUCUCUUUGCUGCACACUGCUGUUCUCACCUUGCUGCCCUCAUUCUCUGCAUACUUUGCGCUCUUUGUGCACUAUUGCUCAUUUUUAUUGUAUUCUAUUGUCUGUAACAGGUAUGUUACCUAUUUAAGAUACAGUUUCUAAAAUAACAUGCUUUUACUAGUUUUGCACUUCUUCUUGUUUCUUGUGUGCUUUUACCUAUGGUUUUGCUGCUCUUGUUGACACUAGUAUACACUUACUAGCCUAUUUAGCUUAGAUUAGCAUGCCCCCCUUACCCCUUCCCUAUCUCAAUGAAUGUUUACUUUUCUUUGUGCAUUAUUACCAUGUGUCCAGGGCUGCUUGGCUACUUAGUUAGCCUAAUACCUCUUCCUGAGGUUAAGUGUAUUGGGGGUUUUUUGCAGUAAGAAUUGAACCCCUAUUUCUUCUACAACUAUGUCUGAUUAACUGCCUUCACUAUGUUUGCCUGUGUGUGAGUAGAUCCCUGUACUUAUCUGUUCCAUCCCCCUUUGCUCCUGUUUGUAUUGUGCUCUGUUCUAAACUGGUUAGUAUAUAUGAUUUUAAAAGAAUUCCUUUCAACUCUUUUAACUCUAUUAAGCUAUUUUCUCAAACUGUCUCCUAAAUCUUUCGGCUGUUUUCUUAAAUUGACUCUCAACGGUUUUUAAGCUCUCUCAAUCCUAUUACAACUUCACUACUCUUAGAAUACUAUGUUCUGCCCCCUUAGUGUAAGCAUUGCUUUGGGAGCCCUUGAGCACCCAUUGAGCUUUGAUGCACAAGGCUGGCACUUCUUCUCUUGCACUUGUCUAAUAAUGACACUUUGGGUGUCUGGUAUUGGCCAGAGGUUCAAACGAAAUCUUAGGGAACUUUGCCGCACCCAAGCCUUGAUAAUGGCUGUGAAACUCGAAAGAAGUGAGGUUGGAGAUCUUGGGCCUGGCUGUAGGCUCCCUGUAGAAUGGCUUCUUCUUUUUUAUCA
rnacentral:lncRNA from 1 species